CUUGCGGAGGGAUCAUUA
rnacentral:rRNA from 2 species